rnacentral:lncRNA from 1 species
GGGGUGCCCACCUGAGCAUGGCCUCCUCCACGCGCGGCCCCGUGCGGGUGCUGCUCACCACGUCGUCCAACUGCAUCACGAUGUCGGCUCCUGCGGGCGUGUGUGGGGCGGCCCCACGGCGCUAUGGGGCAGCGCUCACCCGGCGCUAUGGGGCAGCGCUCACCCGGCGCUAUGGGGCAGCCCCAUAACUCCCAUUCCCUCCCCUUCCCUCCCCUCCCCUCCCCCUGGCGCAAUGGGGCAGCUAUGGGACUCAGCACGUUCUGUAGCCUCGUCCCCCCAGCGCUAUGGGGCAGCCCCAUAACUCCAGAGGGCUAUGGGGCAGGUGUGGGGCAGCCAUGGUGGAGGAUAUGGGGCAGCUAUGGGGCUCACCCAGUGCGGUCUGUAGCCCCAUCCCCCCUGUCCCCCCAGCGCUAUGGGGCAGCCCCAUAUCCCCAGAGGGCUAUGGGGCAGCUGUGGGGCAGGAUAUGGGGCAGCUAUGGGGCAGCUAUGGGGCACGCUAUGGGGCGGCCAUGGGGAUGAUAUGGGGCAGCCAUGGGGCGGCCACGGGGAUGAUAUGGGGCAGCCAUGGGGCGGCCAUGUGGGUGCUAUGGGGCAGCUAUGGGGCGGCCAUGUGGGGGCCAUGGGGCACGCUAUGGGGCACGCCAUGGGGCACGCCAUGGGGCACGCCAUGGGGGCGCUAUGGGGUGGCCAUGGGGCACGCU